rnacentral:rRNA from 1 species
UGCGUUUUAAUUUUUGACUCUAUUUGUUGUGGUGCUAUGAGUUUUUAGUUUGUUUUUAUGUUGUUUUUUGUAAAAUAUUUUGAUUUUUUUUUUUAGUUUCUUGUGGUAUCAAAAAUUUGUUUUUUGAACUGGAUUAGUACCCAGGUAAUCAAAAUUUAAUAAUUCGGGAGUAAAGUUUUGUUUAAACCGAAAAAAUAUUGACUGACUUUAGAUUUUUCUUUGGAACAUGUGAUUUGCUGGAGAGCCCUCUUUUUUGGUGAAUUUUGUUGGCACAUGUAUGAUUGUUUAGUUUUUAUUUUAUUUUGUAAUGCUUUGUUGUUUUGGCAUUAAAAACAGAUAUAUAUUUGGCUUAUGAAUUUAUGUUUCAUGUGUUACUAUUAUGAAUUUUUUUUGGAUUAGUUUUUUAUUUUUUUUUGAAAUUGGAAAAGAAAGUAAUUUUUUUUUAAUGUUUUAAUGAAUUUAAUAAAUAAGG